rnacentral:misc_RNA from 1 species
AACAAGGCGUACCUGCGGACCUGCGGAAGGAUCAUUACAGAGUGUUUAACCCCCUAUAAAAUGGUGGGUCUAACCUCCCGUCCUUUGCUGGGUCCCCCUUCUGGAGGACUUUCAAAACUUUCUGCUUCGGCGGGGUAUACCCGCCGGAACACCCUCAAAAAAUUCUUGAUCAAAAUGGUUCGGUCCGAGAAACUUUUUGUGAAAAUUAGCGAAAAACUUUCAGCAAUGGAUCUCAGAUCG